rnacentral:rRNA from 1 species
AGAGUUUGAUCCUGGCUCAGAAUGAACGCUGGCGGYGUGCUUARCACAUGCAAGUCGAACGAGAAAGGGAUUGCUUGCAGUCCCUGCAGUUAGAGUGGCGCCCGGGUGAGUAACACGUAGAUAAUCUGCCUUCMAGCCUGGGAUAUAGCGUAUCUCGAAAGGCGUCACGCUAUAGUACCGGAUAAAGYCCAUCUACACUACACGCUGAGAUUGAUGAGAGAGACUUGCCUCCUUCUCUCGCAAAGGCAAUUGUAUGGUACGCAUGUAGUUAUCGCC